rnacentral:rRNA from 1 species
UACGAAGGGGGCUAGCGUUGCUCGGAAUCACUGGGCGUAAAGGGUGCGUAGGCGGGUCUUUAAGUCAGGGGUGAAAUCCUGGAGCUCAACUCCAGAACUGCCUUUGAUACUGAAGAUCUUGAGUUCGGGAGAGGUGAGUGGAACUGCGAGUGUAGAGGUGAAAAUUCGUAGAUAUUCGCAAGAACACCAGUGGCGAAGGCGGCUCACUGGCCCGAUACUGACGCUGAGGCACGAAAGCGUGGGGAUCAAACAGGAGUUAGAAUAUC